rnacentral:rRNA from 1 species
CUAGCAUAUCAAUAAGCGGAGAAAAGAAACCAACAGGGAUUGCCUCAGUAACGGCGAGUGAAGCGGCAACAGCUCAAAUUUGAAAGCUGGCCCCCCCGGGGGUCCGCGUUGUAAUUUGUAGAGGAUGAUUCGGCGAGGGCUCCCGCCUAAGUCCCCUGGAACGGGGCGUCAUAGAGGGUGAGAAUCCCGUAUGCGGUGGGCUGCCUUAGCCACGUGAAUCUCCUUCGACGAGUCGAGUUGUUUGGGAAUGCAGCUCUAAAUGGGAGGUAAAUUUCUUCUAAAGCUAAAUACCGGCCAGAGACCGAUAGCGCACAAGUAGAGUGAUCGAAAGAUGAAAAGCACUUUGGAAAGAGAGUUAAAAAAGUACGUGAAAUUGUUGAAAGGGAAGCGCUUGCAGCCAGACUUGUCCGCAGUUGCUCAGCCGGUCUCCUGACCGGCGCACUCUUCUGCGGCCAGGCCAGCAUCAGUUCGGGCGGUCGGAUAAAGGCCCCGGGAACGUAGCUCCUCUCGGGGAGUGUUAUAGCCCGGGGUGGAAUGCGGCCAGCCCGGACUGAGGAUCUCGCUUCGGCUAGGAUGCUGGCGUAAUGGCUGUAAGCGGCCCGUCUUGAAACACGGACCAAGGAGUCUAACAUCUAUGCGAGUGUUUGGGUGUCAAACCCAUGCGCGUAAUGAAAGUGAACGGAGGUGGGAACCCUCGCGGGUGCACCAUCGACCGAUCCUGAUGUCUUCGGAUGGAUUUGAGUAAGAGCAUAGCUGUUGGGACCCGAAAGAUGGUGAACUAUGCCUGAAUAGGGUGAAGCCAGAGGAAACUCUGGUGGAGGCUCGCAGCGGUUCUGACGUGCAAAUCGAUCGUCAAAUUUGGGUAUAGGGGCGAAAGACUAAUCGAACCAUCUAGUAGCUGGUUCCUGCCAAU